AAGGGUCCGUAAUAUUGUAUUUUAUACGAUAAAAAUAAUUUUUUAUUUUCGUACUAUUAUACUAGAGUCUUAUAGAGGAUUGAGGAAUUAUAUGAGUAAGGAUGAAAUCUUUUGAUACAUAUUAGACCGCUAAUGGCGAAAGCAUCAUUCCAGGUUUAGACUGACAUAGAGGGACGUAGGCGUUAAUAGCAAAAAGGAUUAGAUACCCUUGUAGUCAACGCAGUAAACGAUAAAUGCUAAAGAUUAGUAAUAUAAUAAAAAUAUAAUAAUUUAAUUUGGUCACUAGUACUUUUUUAUUAGUCCAGUCCAAGUUCAGUUCAAAAUAUAUCUUUUUAAUUAGUCUAUAAAUGAAGAUAAUAAGCAUUUCACCUGGGAAGUAAUGUCGCAAGGCAGAAACCCAAAACAUUAGACGGUCAUGGAAAUCAGCAGUGAAGCAUGUUAUUUAAUACGAUAAUCCGCGUAAAACCUUACCAUUUCUUGAAUAUUUUUAAAACUAAUUUACUAACUAAUCAUUUUAUAUUAAUUGGUUAUAGUUAUUUGUUAAAAGAUGAGAUGAAAAAUUUUUUUUUUUUGUUAGUUAACAAUGAUUGGCCAUAACAAUUAAAUUGAUUAAAUUAAAUAAGUUAAAUUAUACAGGUGUUGCAUUGCUGUCUUCAGUUCGUGUCUUGAGAUGUUAGGUUAAUUCCAAUAAACGAAUGAAACCCUUAUUUCUUAAUAUAAUAAAGAUUAGGAAGAUUCUGGGAAAACUAGAAUAUAAUGGGGAUUAAGACAAGUCGUCAUGACCUUUAUGAAAUGGGCUAUAGACGUGCCACAAAAGUUAUAACAAAGGGAUGCAAAGAAAAAAUUCAGAGCUAAACCAUAAAUAUAACUAAUUACGGAUUAAAGUCUGCAACUCGACUUUAUGAAGAAGGAAUUGCUAGUAAUCGUAA
rnacentral:rRNA from 1 species